GUGCUUGUUUCAGCAGCAUAUAUUCUAAAGUUGGAAUGAUAUAGAUGAGAUUAACAUGGUCCCUGGGCAAGGGUGACAUGAAGUUCUUAAUAAUUUUAUCUUAUGACU
ensembl:snRNA U6 U6 spliceosomal RNA